CAGUCGCCACGGGAAUACGUAGGUGGCAAGCGUUGUCCGGAAUUAUUGGGCGUAAAGCGCGCGCAGGCGGAUAGGUCAGUCUGUCUUAAAAGUUCGGGGCUUAACCCCGUGAUGGGAUGGAAACUGCCAAUCUAGAGUAUCGGAGAGGAAAGUGGAAUUCCUAGUGUAGCGGUGAAAUGCGUAGAUAUUAGGAAGAACACCAGUGGCGAAGGCGACUUUCUGGACGAAAACUGACGCUGAGGCGCGAAAGCCAGGGGAGCGAACGGGAUUAGAUACCCGCGUAGUCCCUGUCUCUUAUACA
rnacentral:rRNA from 1 species